rnacentral:lncRNA from 1 species
UUUUUUUUUUUUUUUGAGAUGGAGUCUUACUCUGUCACCCGGGCUGGAGUGAGUGGUGCGAUCUCGGCUCACUGCAACCUCUGCCUCCCAGGUUCAAGCAAUUCUCCUGCCUCAGCCUCCCGAGUAGCUGGGACUACAGGCACAUGCCACCACACCCGGCUAAUUUUUUGUAUUUUUAUUAGAGACGGGGUUUCACUGUCUCAGCCAGGAUAGUCUCCAUCUCCUGACCUCGCGAUCCGCCCGUCUCAGCCUCCCAAAGUGGGAUUAUAGGCGUGAGCCACCGCGACUGGCCUUAAAAUACUUUAUUGCUAAAAAUGCUAAUGAUCAUCUAAGCCAAGUCAUAACAUUUUCACCGAUGGAGGGUCUAGCCUUGAUGGUGAGGGCUGCUGACUGCUCACGGUGCUGACUGCUAAAGGCUGGGGUGGCUGCAGCAAUUUCUUAAAAUAAGACAACAAUGAAGUUGUUUUCAUUCUUCCUUUCAUGAUAUCGAUUGAUUCUCCCUUUCAUGAAAGAUUUCUCUGUCGCAUGCAAUGCUGUUUGAUAGCAUUUUACCCACAGUAGAACUUCGUUUAAAGUUGAAGUCAAUCCUCUCAACCUUGCCACUGCUUUAUCAACUAAGUUUAUGUAAUAUUCUAAAUCCUUUGUUGUCAUUUCAGCAGUGUUCACAGCAUCUUCACCAGGAGUAGAUUCCAUCUCAGGAAACCAUUUUCUUUGCUCAUUCAUAAGAAGCAACUCUUCAUCCAUAGUUUCAUCACGAGAUUGCAGCAAUUCAGUCACAUCCUCAGGCUCCACUUUUUUUUUUUUUUUUUUGAGACGGCAUCUUGCUCUGUUGCCUAGGCUGGACUGCAGUGGUGCGAUCUUGGCUCACUGCAACCUCCGCCUCCCGGGCUCAGGCGAUUCUCCUGCCUCAGCCUCCCGAGGCUCCACUUCUAAUUCUAGUUCUCUUGCUACUUCCACAGCAUCUGCAGUUAUUUCCUCCAUGAAGUCUUUAACCCCCUCAAAGACAUCCAAGAGGACUGGAAUUAACUUCUUCCAAACUCCUGUUAUUAUUGAUAUUCUGUCCUCCUCCCC